CUCUACCGUCUGUCGCUCUACCGUCCGUCUCUCUGCCGUCCGUCUCUCUGCCGUCUCUCUGCCGUCCGUCUCUCUGCCGUCCGUCUCUCUGCCGUCCGUCUCUCUGCCGCUGUAGUCUCAGAGCGGUGACCUGCAGCGAGCAGCAGCUGUGGUGGAUUAUCUGCUGCUGUCACUCAUCGCUACAUAAACACAUCAGGACGGACAGAAGCCGCAGAUCUGCAGCUGAAACGUGUUCUGCAUUAACUGAAGAGGAAACUGAAGGUUCGGCCUGUGAGGCGUUCACCGCUGAACACCAAACCCUGGAAAAGGAAGCUGUGUUUCUGUUGGACUCGGCCGCUGUUGGCCUCACCUGGACCACAUUAAUAUUUCAUAACUCUGAACCUCCUUCAGCGGCGGCGAGGAAGCGUGCACAGAUUACAGAUGAUUUAAGUCGGCGUGGCGGCUGUGACGCGUCGACGCUCUGCAGCCUUUUUCCAAACCAGCAGAGAGAAACGUGAACCCAGCCUGAACCCUGAGGCCUCUGAACGGGCUUUUAUUUAGCAACACACACACACACACACACACGUCAGCUUCAGUUACAGACGACUCGACACUUUUCAGAGCUUAUUUUUCAGCUUUAUUUUACAAAAAAAAACACAAAGACAAAAAUCCUGAAAAACCUCCAGAAAUCCAUCAGGUCACUUUGUUUGUUCUGUUUCUUUGUUUCAAGCUCAAACCUGCCGACAUGCUGCAGGACAACAACACGCAGAGUACACGCACAAACAACACACUUUACACAAGUUUUACACACAAAGGUCAAACUUUGGGCUUCAGAGACACAUUUGGUCAAAACGAGUUGUUGUUGGGUUUUUUUACAGUACACAGAAAACAGUAAAAA